rnacentral:lncRNA from 1 species
AGAACAAUCCAAGCAAGGGAACAGUUUAUGACAAAGUGCAGAAAUUUGCAAACAAUUCAGCACUUUUGAAAUGCAAACACGUGUGAGGUCAGGGUGGAAAGAAGAAAAUAGGAGAGGGGCUGAAACGCAGGAUGUCUCUUGGCAGAAACAAGAUAACAAAAAGCCUCGUGAACUGUACCAAGGAAUUUAAGUUUAUAUGUACUUGAAGAUGACAAGCAAGGGACUGAAUGUUCACAAGAUCACUCUGGCAACCCUGGGGAGACUGGAAUCGAAGCAGCAUCAUUGUCUAGGGAUGAAGAAGAGGUGCAACUUGGAAAAGAGAUCAGCAGCAAUCCAGCUGGAAAAUAGUGAUCAUCUGAGAGGAGAGUGGCCAUCUGGUUGAAUGAAGGGCAACAGGCGUGAAUAAAAUAAAAGAAGUAGGCUUGAUGGGUAACUGACCACCUGUGGGGAAUUAAGGAUGUUUAUCAGAGAGGAUGAAAUAUUGGGAUGGUUUUGUGGAGGGAGGGCAGUAGAGGGGUUCAAGCCAGGACAUUUGGGCAGAGAUGCCCUAUCUCUUGGCUUAUACUAGUGAGUUCACCUGGAUAAAACUUUUACUGUGAAGCGGUGACACUCUGCCCAUCCACCUUGUAAGUUCUUCUAUUAUAAGGCUGUAGAAAAAGACUCAAGUGGCUCUUUAAUUUGAUUCCUUGUGCAGGUUAGAUUUUUUUCCUAGAAUAACUUCAGUCUGCUAAUUUCACAUUAGUAUUACUUAAGGUCCUCAACAAUCAAAGAAAAGCUGCUUUCAGACUUCAAGUGCCCACAAGGCACUCCUUGGGAACAUGUACUACUAAUCCUGUGUGUUCCUUCUAAGCCGAACACUGACCUAUGAAGUCCCUCAAUCAAGUAUCUCUGCUCUUUUCCAUAGUGUCACUAUUACUGUCUUCACUUUUUUUCUUUCAUGUCACCCUUUCUCUCUCAGUUUACCUCUUUUCCCUGGGCAAAGAUGCUGCCAAAACUAUACAGCCAAACUGCCUCCCUAAUCAAGACUGGGAAUAAUAAUAGACCACUGCUCCAAUGGAGCAUCUCUUUCUUUUCAGGGCUGCAUGACACUUUGCACGGAGCUUCCUACCUCCAAGUGACAUUCUUACCUGCAGCUGAGUAAAUGAGUCCGCCUCCCAUACAGUUGUUUUAUAGGAUUUGCUAGGGAUUAAUUCUUUCUUUUCAGCUGUACCUUGUCAGAGACCACAAAUGAACAAAGAGGAACAUCAAGAAAUAGGAGAUAGGCUGCGUUUGGCUUUGUCUGGCAUUCACUCCUAUUCACCCGGCCAAGUUUCUUGAUGCUGUUGUGACGAGGCAUUGUUGUGGGUGGAAAGCUUGGAGCUAUAAUGCACGUGGCUGCCACACAGCUGGCGCUGUCGGCUUGAAGCUGGAAUGGAGUGAACCCGCCUGUUAAUUUGUACAUGAACACACACUAAUCUCUCAUUCACACCCUGGGUGGCUGGUUUGUUCUGCACACAGAUGAAUCUAAAAAGCUUUGGCCCUCUGGCAUUCCACAGAUGAGAUUCUCAUUAGGAACGGCAGUUCCCUCUCUGACCCAAUGGAAGAAGUAUCAUGGGCUCCAAUCCCAGCUUCUCAUUCUCUCCCUAUUUAAUACUACUAAUAAUAUUUAGCAUAUUUGAGUCCUUCCUACUACUACCAGAUCCAUGUAAAGAGCUUUACAGACAAUCGCCCACUCAGUCCCUACAAACAUCUGCUGGGGAGUCACUGCCUAACAGUGGGUGUGUUCCCCAUUUCUAAAAUUUCCCCAGACCAGUUGCCAUCUUCCUUCCUGGACACAAUAAUUGCUGCUCUAAUUUCCCUGCUCUCUAACCCUAUCUUUAGAUCCAUAUAUCAGUUCCUGCAUCCUCAGGGACCCCUGUCUUAAUGCUUUCUUCUUUAGCUCCAUCCCAGCACACUCUACCUAAUAUAGUUCCAUGGUCCACAGUUCCAUGGUCCAUGACCAUGGACAUUAUGGUGGCAAGAAUUUAUCCACCAACCAGGUCACCUCUAGUUUACAAUAAUAAUAAAAUUUAAAUGUAAUUUUAUACUUACCUCCAAACUCAUCCUUAUAUACAUUAAAUAUAUAUAUAGCCUACUGUAUGCCAACCAUACCUUAAUAAAGUAGUUUUAAAUAUAAAUUUAAUUCAACUUAUGUUAUUUUGAUUAUGAACAAAUUAAAUUGAAUUAAGUUUAAGUUUAAUUAUAAUUAAUGUAGUAUAAAAUAGAAAUAUGAUUUUUAAUAUAUUAAAUGUAAUUAUAAUUUUCACUCGUGUCCAUGUGAAGAGACCACCAAACAGGC